rnacentral:rRNA from 1 species
GGUAAGAAAAUUAUUGUUAUUUAUAAAAGUUAAUAUUUAUAUUUUUAUUUAAGAAAAAUCUUUAUGUUAAAUUAUUUUUUAUAGAAAAAAUUUUUAUUUAUUAUAGAAUAAUAGUAUUGUGAAAGAAUUUUUUAAAUUAAUUAAAAGAAAAAUUAAUUUUUUGUACCUUGUGUAUCAGGGUUUAUUAAAAAUAUAAUUUUUAAUGUAAAUUUUUCUCGAAUUAAUAAGAGUUAUAAAUUUAUUAUUUUUAAUGUAGAAAAAUUAUUAUUAAUAAAUUUAUAGAGGUGAAACGUUAUUCCGUUUAUUAAUAUAUCUAGUUUUAAAGGAAAUAAAUUUAAUUUAUAAUUUAAUAAAUAAUUUUUUAUGGGGUAAUAGUUAUUUUUAAAAUUAAAUAAUUUAAGGGUUGAGCUUUAAAUUAAAUUUGGUAAAAUAAAAUUUUAAAAUUUAUAAAAAAAGUAGAAUUAGAAGUUUUAAUUAUAGUGUUUAAUAACUAAUUUUAAGGGGUUAAUUUUUUAUAUUUUAAAAGUUUUACUUUUUUUACUUUAAUAUUUAUUUAAAUAAUAAUAAUAAAGUAAUUAUGAUAUAAUUAGUAGAAAAUUUUUAUAUAAUUAAUUAAAUUUUUAAUAAAAAUUUAGAUUAAGUUAAGGAAUUCGGCAAAAUUAAUUUUUCACCUGUUUAUUAAAAACAUGUCCUUUAAGAAUUUGAUAAUUGAAGGUCGGGCCUGCCCAGUGAUGUUGUUGUUUAACGGCCGCAGUAUUUUGACUGUGCUAAGGUAGCAUAAUCAUUAGUUUUUUAAUUGAAAGCUGGAAUGAAAGGUUUGAUGAAAAAAUAACUGUCUCAGUUUAAUAAUUUGAAAUUUAUUUUUAAGUUAAAAAGCUUAAAUUUUUAUAAAAGACGAGAAGACCCCAUAGAGUUUCAUAUUUUUAAAAAAGUUAUGUAAUUGGAAAUAAUAAAUUCUUAUUGUAAAAAUAUUUAAUUGGGGUGAUUUAAAAAUUUAAUUAACUUUUUAUAAAUAAUUACAUAAAUAAGUGAAAAAAUUGAUCCUUUUUUUAGAUUAAAAGAAAAAUUACCUUGGGGAUAACAGCGUAAUUUUUUUUUAGAGUUCUAAUCGAUAAAAAAGUUUGCGACCUCGAUGUUGGAUUAAAAUUAAUUUUUGGUGUAGAAGCUAAAAUAUUAGGUCUGUUCGACCUUUAAAAUUUUACAUGAUCUGAGUUUAAACCGGCGUGAGCCAGGUUGGUUUCUAUCUUUAUGAAAUAAAAUAUUUUAGUACGAAAGGACCAAAUAUUUCUUUUUUUAAAAGUUUUAAAUUUUUGAGUAUAAUUAAAAGUUAAGAAAAAAGAAAAUUA